AACGAACGCUGGCGGCAGGCUUAACACAUGCAAGUCGAACGCGUGCAGCAAUGCACGAGUGGCGCACGGGUGAGUAACGCGUGGAUAUCUGCCUUUUGGUUCGGAAUAACCCCGGGAAACUGGGGCUAAUACCGGAUGGUUCCUACGGGAUAAAGAUUUAUCGCCAAAAGAUGAGUCCGCGUCCGAUUAGCUAGUUGGUGAGGUAAUGGCUCACCAAGGCGACGAUCGGUAGCUGGUCUGAGAGGACGAUCAGCCACACUGGGACUGAGACACGGCCCAGACUCCUACGGGAGGCAGCAGUGGGGAAUAUUGGACAAUGGGGGCAACCCUGAUCCAGCCAUGCCGCGUGAGUGAUGAAGGCCUUCGGGCUGUAAAGCUCUUUUGGCGGGGACGAUGAUGACGGUACCCGCAGAAUAAGCCCCGGCUAACUUCGUG
rnacentral:rRNA from 1 species